GACGAACGCUGGCGGCGUGCUUAACACAUGCAAGUCGAACGGAAAGGCCCUGCUUGCAGGGUACUCGAGUGGCGAACGGGUGAGUAACACGUGGGUGAUCUGCCCUGCACUUCGGGAUAAGCCUGGGAAACUGGGUCUAAUACCGGAUAGGAGCCAUUUUUAGUGUGAUGGUUGGAAAGUUUUUUCGGUGUAGGAUGAGCUCGCGGCCUAUCAGCUUGUUGGUGGGGUAAUGGCCUACCAAGGCGGCGACGGGUAGCCGGCCUGAGAGGGUGGACGGCCACAUUGGGACUGAGAUACGGCCCAGACUCCUACGGGAGGCAGCAGUGGGGAAUAUUGCACAAUGGGCGCAAGCCUGAUGCAGCGACGCCGCGUGGGGGAUGACGGCCUUCGGGUUGUAAACUCCUUUCGCUAGGGACGAAGCUUUUUGUGACGGUACCUAGAUAAGAAGCAUCGGCUAACUACGUG
rnacentral:rRNA from 1 species